rnacentral:rRNA from 1 species
CGAAUUCGGCUUAGAGUUUGAUCCUGGCUCAGGAUGAACGCUGGCGGCGUGCUUAACACAUGCAAGUCGAACGGUCUCUUCGGAGAUAGUGGCGGACGGGUGAGUAACGCGUGAGAAUCUGCCUUUAGGUUCGGGACAACAGUUGGAAACGACUGCUAAUACCGAAUGUGUCGCAAGAUGAAAGAUUUAUUGCCUAAAGAUGAGCUCGCGUCUGAUUAGCUAGUUGGUGGGGUAAAAGCGUACCAAGGCGACGAUCAGUAGCUGGUCUGAGAGGAUGAUCAGCCACACUGGGACUGAGACACGGCCCAGACUCCUACGGGAGGCAGCAGUGGGGAAUUUUCCGCAAUGGGCGAAAGCCUGACGGAGCAACGCCGCGUGAGGGAGGAAGGCUUUUGGGUUGUAAACCUCUUUUCUCAAGGAAGAUAAUGACGGUACUUGAGGAAUCAGCAUCGGCUAACUCCGUGCCAGCAGCCGCGGUAAUACGGAGGAUGCAAGCGUUAUCCGGAAUAAUUGGGCGUAAAGCGUUCGUAGGUGGUUUUGCAAGUCUGCUGUUAAAGCGUGUAGCUUAACUACAUAAUGGCGGUGGAAA